rnacentral:rRNA from 1 species
UGGGGAAUAUUGGGCAAUGGAGGCAACUCUGACCCAGCCAUGCCGCGUGGGUGACGAAGGUCUUCGGAUUGUAAAGCCCUUUCGGCGGGGACGAUGAUGACGGUACCCGCAGAAGAAGCCCCGGCUAACUUCGUGCCAGCAGCCGCGGUAAUACGAAGGGGGCUAGCGUUGUUCGGAAUUACUGGGCGUAAAGGGCGUGUAGGCGGCCCGCUAAGUCAGGUGUGAAAUUCCUGGGCUCAACCCAGGACGUGCACUUGAGACUGACGGGCUUGAGUCCGGGGGAGGAUGGUGGAACUCCCAGUGUAGAGGUGAAAUUCGUAGAUAUUCGCAAGAACACCAGUGGCGAAGGCGGCUCACUGGCCCGAUACUGACGCUGAGGCACGAAAGCGUGGGGAGCAAACA